GCCGGGCACGGUGGUGUGUGCCUGUAAUCCCAGCUACUUGGGAGGCUGAGGCUGGAGGAUUGCUUGAGCUCAGGAGUUCCGGGCUGCAGUGCGCUAUGCUGAUCGGGUGUCCGCACUAAGUUCGGCAUCAAUAUGGUGACCUCCCGGGAGCGGGGGACCACCAGGUUGCCUAAGGAGGGGUGAACCGGCCCAGGUAGGAAAUGGAGUAGGCCAAAAUACAGAGGUGUAUCAUAUCAUUAUAUACCUGAAACUAACAGAAUGUUACAUGUCAAUUAUCUCUCAGCUUUAAAAAUCCACUU
rnacentral:SRP_RNA from 1 species